GAUGAAGAACGCAGCGAACUGCGAUAAGUAAUGUGAAUUGCAGAAUUCAGUGAAUCAUCGAGUCUUUGAACGCACAUUGCGCCCCCUGGUAUUCCGGGGGGCAUGCCUGUCCGAGCGUCAUUGCUGCCCUCAAGCCCGGCUUGUGUGUUGGGCCGUCGUCCCCCCUCCCGGGGGGACGGGCCCGAAAGGCAGCGGCGGCACCGCGUCCGGUCCUCGAGCGUAUGGGGCUUCGUCACCCGCUCUUGUAGGCCCGGCCGGCGCUUGCCGACACAUCAAUCUUUUUUCCAGGUUGACCUCGGAUCAGGUAGGGAUACCCGCUGAACUUAAGCAUAUCAAUAAGCGGAGGA
rnacentral:misc_RNA from 1 species